GCCCUGCCUGCGCCCCCACUCAGGGCGCCCUCGUCACGGCCGCGUCCUGUCCUCCGUGCGCUCCUAAUAGCUCCACGUCAGAGUUCCCAGUUUCAGUGGAUGAAUCCAAUGUGGAGACCAAAACCGCUGAAAGGAGUCCACAGAGCAAGUCUGAUGGCCCUGCUUCCUUGGGCAUAUUCUACCAGGUACGGCAGAAUGGAUAGUACACAGAUAGCAGUGAUACAAUGAAAAGAGGAGCCCCAGACCACAGGACACACCUAUGGAUUCUGUCAGAUAAAGGAUGCUCAAAAUGUGGACAGAAGUCCUGCAGGCAGAAAGCAAGAGCCCCAACUUUAACAUGAACAAGAUCUGAAUAGACAUUCCACCAAGAAAAGUACCUGACUAAGCUAAUAGGCAGAGCUUGCCGGCGUAUCAGCAUUCUGGCAUACAGGGUCAAACUCUAGGUAAGACUUUUUUUUCCUCCUUAACACCUUCGGCCUUAUGAAACCUAGCCAGCAGAAGGACAUUUUCUGGUCAUUUCCAGAUGAAUUUCUCUGUCCUGAAACCAAAGUGUGUGCUAUCUUCAACAACGGACUCUUACCGUCUAGUUCUGGUGGGCAAACAAGCAAUGACAGUAGCCUGUGUUAAUAUGAAGUCUCUAGGGCCUCACUGAUCAACAGCUCACAGAGAGUACCCCAGUCUGGUGCUGAGAUUGUCUUAGGGGGCUGUAUUGUCUGCCCACCCAUGCUGUGUAUCACCAUUCAAAUUCCUUUUGUUUUUUUUUUUAAUAUUAGCUAAUGAAGUACUGGUUUUCCAUAAAUUUAUCAUAUAUCUUUUCUCCCUUAAUUUGCUUUUGUCAGGGUAUUUUAAAAUGGCAAUAGGGAAAGUUACUAAGUCAGUUUUGCGGCGCUAGCUAGGGAUUAAUCCCAGGACCUUACACAGGCUAACCCCAUACUCUACUACUGAGCUAUACUACCUAACUCCUUGAGAAUUAUUUCUAAACUAAUAUAAAGGCAAUAAUGAGGAUUACUCUAUACAAAGAAUUGAGUCAGCCAUUAAUUGUAGCAGAAAGAACUUAUGUUACUCACUGAUGAGGCUUGUGGGGUUGACAAAGAGAAUGUAUCUUGGGAAAGCACCACAGGAGAUUGUGGUACCAAGGUAUUCUGACUCCAGAAGCUGUAAGGCAAAUAUCUAGUGAUGAGGACAGUCUGAGAAUCCCAUAGCCCAGAAGGAACAGUGUCCCCAGGGUCACUGCAGGGUCCUGGAGAAAAGAGCAAGAUGCUUCCACUCUGCCUAUGGCUUGAGAGCUGUGAGCAGGGCUUUCAGGGUGCCUGGAAGGAUUUAAAAGUCUAUCAUGGCUGCAACCUGAGAAAGUGUGAACACAAGUGUGCCAGCAGGAAAGGAGCCAUGACCAAGGGUUCCCCGUGGUACUUUGAAUGUAAAGCCCCUCCCCAUAGGCUCAUAUAUUUAACUACUUGCUCCUGCCCCCAGACCCUGUUAGUGUAACUGUUUGGGAAGAAUUUUGGGGUGUGCCCAUGCUAGGGGAGGUGUGUGGCUGAGGGAAACCUUUGAGGCUUCAAAAGACCCUGAGGAGUCCCAGCACUCACUUUGCCUCCUGCUUGCUGAUCAAGGUGUGAGCUCUCAGCUACUGCUCCUGCACCAAGCUUGCCUACCUGUUACCACGUUCCCCAGCCAUGAUGGUCAAGAUCUCUAUCUGUUUGAAACAGUAACCCUCAAGUAAACACACAAUCUUUUAAAGUUGCCUUGGACAUGGGGUUUAAUUACAGCAACAGGGAAGUAGGAAAGCAUUUGGCCACCUCCCUCUUUUCUCCUGUCACACCUAGUUCAAAUCACAUUUUCCUUGUCUUCCUGAAAGUUUUAAGCACUGUAUGAAUAUCUAGGAGUGUUUCUUGGGAUCCCCUGAUUAAAAGUGCGGCAGAAGUGUAAAGUGUUGCUACCAGCACCGCAGACAUUUUCCCCUCAACGGAAACACAGGGCAUGGCGCUAUAUUUCAACUUCUGACACACCUGAGGGUUUUGUUUUGAGGGUUAAGCACCAUGCAUGUGCAAAAGUGAGAAAACAUGACAGCGAAAGACAAAAAGGUAAUGAGUUCAGCCAAGGGGCAGCUCUACUUUGCUGUCCAGGGAAAGUAGUGAUAGCUACACACACACUGCAGCCAGACCUAACAGCUUCCCUCCAUCAACAACUAUUGGUGUGUUACAGCUAACAGGCAUACAGAACAAAUCCAGACCUCGCCUUCAUGCCAGAGAUGAGCUGCUCCAUAGGUACACACCCAUUUAUCUCACAGAUUCCAGUGACACGCCAGCCUGGCAAACACUGGAGGCUUGCUUAAAUAGUCAGCAUCUGCUUGUAGUUGACAACUGUCACAGUGUCACUGGAAUAGACUAAAGACAAAGGAGGGGAAGAGAACGAACUGGCUGAUGCAUGCCUAACCAAGGCUUGUCAGCACCCAAGGCCCUGGGGUUUGCAAGAAUAAUGAGUUAGAUGGACCUUAGCUCCCCCUCUCACUCCUGACACUCCUCUCCUCUAUAUGGAACUCAGAAUCUUGUCCACGCUAGGCUAGUACUCUACCCCUGAAUUAUACCUCUUGCCUGGAAGAACUACUUUUAAAUUAAGGACAAGAAGCUCAAGCCUCUAAUCCUAUCACUUGGAAGACUGAGGCAGGAAAACUGCUAUGAAUGCAAGGCCAGACUGAGCCACAGGGAGAUCCUGUCACAAAGCACAUACAAGUGUGGUAGCUCAUGCGUGUAAUACCAGAACUUACAUGCGGAAGCAGAGGGAAUGUUGCAAUUUCCAAGCCAUUUGGACUGUGUCGUGUAACAAUUGCCUUCCAUAUUGAAACUUUCCAACCUGCAGGGAAGCUCUUCAAACAGGAAGGUUAAAUAACUCAAAACAGCUUCAGGAAGUACCUGAAACUGACCAAAUUCACUAGGCCUGUCCCUGUCAGAGUAAACAAUAAAAGCUAGGGUUACUCUCAGACUAUAAACAAUCUUAUCUAAAAUGCAAAGAUGACUUACUCAAGCCAAGCUGCAAAGAAAAAGCUGAGACCAGACCAGCUCCCUGGAGAAAAGCAGAAACAAGCCGAAAUGCCUGGGAGAGGUUUAGACCAGAAAGGACACUCUCCAACAUUUUCAGCUACCUGCAGGCUGUGCAGGGUGCCCCAGAUUCCCAGCUUUUGUGAGCUGUCACCCAUGCUGGGGGAGGGCAUCGGUGAUGCAGCUGUCUUUGAGUCAUUUCUGCUUCUGCAAAUAACUCCUCACCUAUACUUCUGUAAGUAACUCCAACAAAACUCAUUAGUCUGCCCUGUCAGGCUUUGGUGGUAUCUGUACUUAGCUCUGUCAUGGGAUCGCUAUUUGGGGUGAGUAGAUGUGUGUGUUGCAUCCCCCAGUGUUGUAAGCCGGCCCGAGGCCUACAUGAACCGGGUAUUUCUGGAAGGCAGGCUGGGGCUGGGCUGAAAGAGACUUAGACUGCGAGUAAAGAU